UGGGCCUAUAGCUCAGCUUGGUUAGAGCGCUUCCCUGAUAAGGAAGAGGUCUGUGGUUCAAGUCCACAUAGGCCCACCC
rnacentral:tRNA from 1 species